AAAGUCCCCCUAUCCUUGUGCCAAGGACGAGCACCGUUCCAGGUAAAGGCUGACUCCGGCGCCUUGAGCCCCCAAGUUCCAUAGAACAUGACGUGGAGCCAGAGGAAACGCACAGUGGAUUUAGGGGUGUGUUAUUCUGUGUUCUUUGUUGCUGCAAUAGAAGCAGAACCAGGGUAUUCAUAAUGAUCGGAAGUGUAUUUAGCUCAUGGUCCGGAGGCUGGGAAGCUCAAGGUCAAGGUGUUCCAUCUGGUCAGGGCCUUUCAGCUUGAUCAUGCUAGGGUGGAAGAGAAGAGGCUUCACGUAUGCCACAAAAGCUUUCAGACUUUCCUUCAGCAUCAGAAUCCCCCUUUCGCCGAACUCAACUAUAACGCAGACACCAGCAGAUCUUAUGAAAGGAUUGAGGACAAGAAACUUGGCAGAUCCAGCUCCCCAAGGACCAUUCACAGCCCAGGGCCAGACGUCUGGCCAGCCCUCAAGACUCAGAGCAUCUUAGCGCUGGAAGGAAUCCUGGAGAAAAUAAGUACCUGACAUUUGAGAGGCCCUGAUUAUAUACUUCAUCAUCUAAGGGUUUUCCAUGAAAUAAUCACCCAGAAUCUCCUUUUUGCUGAUAAGAAAGUGCAGCACAUAGUGGUUAAGUGAAUUUGUCCCGGAUCGUUCAGCUGGUAGGAAGCCCUAGCUUCCCGCACUGCGCCAUAUUGCCUGAGAUCAACACAAGCCGUGGAGGAUGGGGAAGAAGGGAGUUGCUUGGCAUCACGCACACAACUGCUUACUGAGAAAGCCAGAAUCAGAGCGUCUUCUGACUCCUCGACCAUGGGCACUCACCUUUUCUUCCCAUUUUGACUUGGAAGCAAAAAGAUACAUCAGGAAGAGGAGAGACAUCUCAUGGAGGUCUGUGUUAAUCCAAGCCCGUGGCUCCGUUUCUUUCCCCUGUCCCUCUUGGGGGAUGCGGGAGCCACACUGACACAGUUCGCUCCCCACGCUCUUCCCGUCCUGGAGGGCAUGGUACAGAGCGACAGGAGCACGCACCAACAGAAACAGUAUGCAAAUCUGGAUGUGAGGAAAACUCAUUUGAUUCUCCAUCUGUCUCCCCGUUUAAUUACUUAGCCAUAAAUUAGCACUUUUUACUAGCCGUGUUCUGCAAAUGUGAUCAAUUCACUGACUUUAAUGUCAAAAAAGGAAUAUCUUUUUAUUUCAAGUAUUUAGCCUU
rnacentral:lncRNA from 1 species